AAACGGGGUCUAAUACCGGAUGAUACUUUUCCCUGCAUGGGGAAGGGUUGAAAGCUCCGGCGGUGCAGGAUGAGCCCGCGGCCUAUCAGCUUGUUGGUGGGGUGAUGGCCUACCAAGGCGACGACGGGUAGCCGGCCUGAGAGGGCGACCGGCCACACUGGGACUGAGACACGGCCCAGACUCCUACGGGAGGCAGCAGUGGGGAAUAUUGCACAAUGGGCGAAAGCCUGAUGCAGCGACGCCGCGUGAGGGAUGACGGCCUUCGGGUUGUAAACCUCUUUCAGCAGGGAAGAAGCGAAAGUGACGGUACCUGCAGAAGAAGCGCCGGCUAACUACGUGCCAGCAGCCGCGGUAAUACGUAGGGCGCAAGCGUUGUCCGGAAUUAUUGGGCGUAAAGAGCUCGUAGGCGGUUUGUCACGUCGGUUGUGAAAGCCCGGGGCUUAACUCCGGGUCUGCAGUCGAUACGGGCAGACUAGAGUGUGGUAGGGGAGAUCGGAAUUCCUGGUGUAGCGGUGAAAUGCGCAGAUAUCAGGAGGAACACCGGUGGCGAAGGCGGAUCUCUGGGCCAUUACUGACGCUGAGGAGCGAAAGCGUGGGGAGCGAACAGGAUUAGAUACCCUGGUAGUCCACGCCGUAAACGUUGGGAACUAGGUGUUGGCGACAUUCCACGUCGUCGGUGCCGCAGCUAACGCAUUAAGU
rnacentral:rRNA from 1 species